rnacentral:lncRNA from 1 species
CAAUGAGCAAUCACUAUAUCAUAUGGGCUACUAUAAGUUGAAGGGGAGAUGGGUUCAAAGAAACUUGGGAUAGUAGAGAUAAAGAGAUGAGGCUGAACCAAGCGGAGCAUAGCCCGAGUAUAAGCCAGAGUCGCCUCCACCAGCAGCAGUAGAGCACCAAACACCUACAGCAGCAACAGCCUUAUGUCUACACCACCAGUGACACCAAUU